GAUGAACGCUGGCGGCGUGCCUAAUACAUGCAAGUCGAGCGAACGGAUGAGAAGCUUGCUUCUCUGAUGUUAGCGGCGGACGGGUGAGUAACACGUGGAUAACCUACCUAUAAGACUGGGAUAACUUCGGGAAACCGGAGCUAAUACCGGAUAAUAUUUUGAACCGCAUGGUUCAAAAGUGAAAGACGGUCUUGCUGUCACUUAUAGAUGGAUCCGCGCUGCAUUAGCUAGUUGGUAAGGUAACGGCUUACCAAGGCAACGAUGCGUAGCCGACCUGAGAGGGUGAUCGGCCACACUGGAACUGAGACACGGUCCAGACUCCUACGGGAGGCAGCAGUAGGGAAUCUUCCGCAAUGGGCGAAAGCCUGACGGAGCAACGCCGCGUGAGUGAUGAAGGUCUUCGGAUCGUAAAACUCUGUUAUUAGGGAAGAACAUAUGUGUAAGUAACUGUGCACAUCUUGACGGUACCUAAUCAGAAAGCCACGGCUAACUACGUG
rnacentral:rRNA from 1 species